rnacentral:rRNA from 1 species
UACGUAGGGGGCUAGCGUUGCUCGGAAUUACUGGGCGUAAAGCGCGCGUAGGCGGACCUGCAAGUCGGGGGUGAAAGCCCGAGGCUCAACCUCGGAACUGCCUUCGAUACUGCGGGUCUCGAGUCCGGGAGAGGUGAGUGGAAUUCCUAGUGUAGAGGUGAAAUUCGUAGAUAUUAGGAAGAACACCAGUGGCGAAGGCGGCUCACUGGCCCGGUACUGACGCUGAGGCGCGAAAGCGUGGGGAGCAAACAGG